rnacentral:lncRNA from 1 species
AGCAAUAUCUUUGGAUUCAUAAUAGUCUCAGUUGCUCCAGUAUCUAUAAAGGCAAUAACAGUAAUGGGCUUACUGUAUUUAUCCAAAUAGAUUGAAAUUGGAAUGUGAGGAACGGAGACUUUUGUGGUAGUAGAGAGGAUCUGGGCUUCUUGGGAUUUGAUCAUAUAGCUAUCAUUUGAUGAAAAAUCUGACUCUGGGGCCAUUCCUUAGAUUGCACAUGGUGACUGUUCUGUUGGUUCAUCAUCAAUGGAAAAGAAGGAUUCAAGGUCAUCUUCUUUCUGAUCUUAAUUCUUGAUUCUUACUGGAUUUGCUGGAUCAUCUUAGACCCUUUUUUGUUGUUUGGGCAAUUUUUUUACAAAAUGACCAUUUUGAUUACAGAUGUAACACCUAUUUGAUUUGGUUCCCCUUGGAGAUAUAUUUUUCUUUAAAUAUCUCCAUUUUGUUUUUCUUCUGAAAGAUCUUGGAAGAUUAAGGUUUUUGAAUCUCCUGAAAUGUUUUUUUUCUUUUUUAUCCUACAAUAGCAAUGCUUUUCAUGUCCACAUUUGAUUCGUAGGUAAGAAUCAUCACAGGCUUUGUCCAACCGCUUGUCACCAUGGAGAUAGUCUUUGAAAACCUUUUUCCUGUUGCAUAAGUCUUCAAGAGUAACAUAAGUUUCUUGUUGGAUUUCUCCCAUUGUCAGGCUGAGGAUGUUUCUGUUUUGCCUGUGGAGACUUUGAUUGAUAGCAACUUAAAGAGGCUCUGGUAUGGAUGCGAGAACUGCAGGUUUAAGACUUUUCUCUAGAUCAAGUGAACAAAAAAUUUUGGUCAUAGCGUGGAAAUGCUUGGAUAAGACUUUCUUGUUGUAAGAGUAGUAUUUUCGUUUGAAGAAUUCACUUCUUUUUAAGGUCAGAAGAUCUUCAGGAUUUCCAGUAAAAUGAUUAUGGAUAAUCCUGAUGGCUUGGGAUAAAUCUAUUAAGACUAGAAAUUACAUCUGAUCUACUUGAUUGAUCGAAUUCCACCAGUCUCUUAACAUUCUUGUAAAUCUGGAAACAAAUUCUAACAGGAUAUUGUAAUGACUUUCUUCUGUUAAUUUUCUGGUGUCAAGCCAUGAGUGAAACUCCUGGAGUCUUCCUGGCCAUCUAGAAGAUAGAAUAUCAUCGGGAGUGAAAGUUUUUUUUCCUCUUGAGAUAGAUGGUGGAGGUCUAACAUCUGAUGUUUCACCGAUAUUCCCUAUUUCUUCAUCUGACAUUUUCACAUUAACUUCUGGUUGGGUGGUUGCUAUCACUUGACUUUCUUCCCUUUCUAAGAUAUCAUUAAAAUAUUCUAAGACAUCUUCACUGGAUCUUUCAGAGGAGUUUGAUUCCUAUGUGACUUCUUGUAAAGCAAUAAUUUUGGGAAGUAUUUGCUGGUUAUAAUCCUUUAAGAAUGUUGACAAAGGAUUUGAAUGACCUAUAUUCUCCUUAAUCAUCAGGGACUUAAACAUUUGCUUUGGUGUAGGAGAAUCCUCUUAUUCUUUAUUUAUAGGCAUUUUUCCCAAGGAUUUAUCUUUUUUCUGCUCUUCUGCUUCCUCUUGUUUCUUAUUUUCUUUUGCUUCUCUUUUUUCUUUUUCUUUUUGAGCAUUUAUUUGUAAAAACAAAUCAAAUGUGCUGGGUUUCUUCUUUCCAUCUGGUGGCGGAAAAGUUAAUCUCAAUUCUUUUAGAGGUGUUGGAGCGUCUAUCUGCCUUAUUGAAGGGAACAAUUCAAUUCCAUUCCUAGAGGGUUUAGGAGGUGGAAUUUGUCUUGUUUCUUUUAACAUCUUGAUCUAAUCCUUGAUAUUUUAGAUUUCUUUCUCUCUUUGAGUAAGAUGAGAGAAGAAAUCUUGUUCUGAUGCUAUUGGCUCUCUAGCUUGUUCUUUCAGACAAUUCUGCAAUAAACGGAUAAGAUCAUUUAUCAUUUUUGAGUUCUCAUUAGUUUUAGCCUCAACUUCAGAAACUUUAGAGUCAAUCUGAUCAACUUUUGAAUCUAUGUUUCUGAUAAUCGAGUUUUGAGCUAAAGCAUUCUCUGUCUGGCAGUUGAGAGUUGCUUCUGCAGUAGCAAUUUUGGUUGCCUUUUCUUCUUGGUCAGCUUGUAUUUUUGUUGGGAUUUUAGGGACAUGAGUAUAUCCCUGAGUGGAAAAUUCUUCAAGAGGAGAAAAAUCCUUAUCAAAUGAUGUAGUAGACAGGAAUAUGCAUACAGCUAGUACUAGUGGCUGUACAACUUCUGGGGUAGUCUUUCUGGCUUCUGGAAAACAUCUUUGCUUUUGUACCCAUUUAUUUAUCCUUUUGUAACAAGGAUGCUUUAAAGGUUUUGAAAUCCAUUUCUGCUUUUGCUGAUCAUCUGAUGGUAGAGAAGAUGGUUUUGAUGGUGGUGAUGUCGGUGAUAGGGAUAUAGGAUUUUUGAGUCUUGUAGCUGAGUAAUCUACAAGAUAAAUAAAUUUCCUAUUAUCUUCUCCAAGUGGUCCGAUGUUCGGGUCACCAUCCAUCCAUCCAUCCAUCUUUUGUAAAAUUUAGAUUGGGUGGAUUUCUUCUUCUUGCCUCCUUUCUUCUUGUGAGGCUUGUAGGCUGAGUUGUCCAUACUCUUGAUCCAUUCUUCAAAAUUCAGAUCUGUACAUAAUUCACAUGAACACAUAGAAUCCCAUGGACAGUGUCCGGUUGUUGGGUCCUUGAACAUGUACAGAGGUUUCCCAUAUGUUUAAAAACUUUUUAUCAGGGCUGCUUCUGAUCCUGGACUAGAGUGUUGAAAUGGUUGCAUCAUCAAUUGCGUAGGUAACACUGAUGGAGUUACGGUUGUAUUUUGGUUGAGAUGGCUGUGAUCAAAUCUAAUCUCGCUGGUACCAUCUCCCUUAGACACUAUCUGGCUUUUAGUAGAUCUAACUGGUUGUCUGUGCUCUUGGAGUUGUUCAUAGUUUGUAACCCAUUUUUCUGGUAAGAGUUUUAAUAACUCUUAUUUCGAAAUUUGUCUAGGUACAUGGAUACAGUGUGGUUCUUCUUUGGUGUUUACAGAAAUUAAAAGUGAAUCAUUAAAACCCUGAUUAGAGAGUUUAAAAGCAUGGUCCUAAAUCCUGUAAACAAUCUGGUAAUGGAGGAUAGCAGUGACUGCUGAUUCCACCAUUUUAGCUCCAACUAUCUGUAUUUGAACCUUCAAGGUAUCCAUCAGAUUUGAAUCUUGAAAUGACAUAGUAAAAUUGGGAAAUAAAGUUACCAUGAUUAAUCCAGAACUUAAAGUUGCUUCAACAAUUCCAAUACAUGCAUCUUUAUAUCUAUGGUAUCUGGAAUCAAGAAGCGCAAUUCUGGCAACAAUUGGUUUCCCUGAAGUACCAUGGUAGUUUAGAGUGAGUUUGAUUACUCCAAAAUGGAUAUAGGUAUAUCCAUUUUCUAGCCAUGAUUUAGGGAAUUUCGCUGGAAUUUCUAAAGUAACAAACUCUUCCGAUUGGCCACCAUGGAUGAGAUGUUUGUCAAAUUUGGAAGAUUGCAUAUAUUCACGGACGCUUUUUGGUUUAGUCUGUAUUAGAGACUUAAUACUUUUUAUAGGAGAGAAAGUGGGUUUAUGGUAUGUAGAAUAAGGAUUUACAAGUGGAAGAUCAGUGGGUUUGAUCUUUUCCUCUUCAGAGAUAUAAGUUUCCUCAUAAAGAGAUAAGAUUUUUUUGAUGAGUGAGAUUUUAAUGGUAGUGAAGGUAAAGUGAUUAGGGCCGUAGAAGUUGAAGGACAACUAAAAACUUUGUCUGAUUCCAUAAUUUUAAUAAUUCUUUCUUUCUUGAUUUACACUUAAAGGAAAAUGAGAAUUAAUCUAGAACCAGACUCUGAUACCAAAAGAAAAAAAGAGCUAUAGGAAGAGAUUAAGAAUAGAGAUGAUUACAAGUAUGCUAUGCCAAAACGAGGUCUUCCAUGACCAUAAAUGGGCACUGCCUUUUUAUCAUGUUGUUGAUCUCCAUCUCAAAUGAAAGGUAAAGAUAAUUGAGAUUUCAUGUCCUCAAUAACCCAGACACAUUAAGCUCUUGAAGGAAUUUCCAUUCUUAUUGAUGGAAGGGAAACGGGUACUACAUUGAUAUAUCAAAGUGUCUUACUAAAUUUGGCAUGGACAAAGUUUUGUCGGAAGGUGCUUGCCAUAAAAACUGGUUGAAAAAAAAUUUAAAUAUUCAUUUUAGAUUUAAGUUAAUUUAAAGGUUUAUAAAUAUAAAAAUCAUUGAAAAAAAAUUAAAAAUGAAUUAAGCCCUUUAAUGUAAUUCGCACCCAGUUGAGUCAUUGUCGUUAACAAAAAAAAAAAUUAAAUCCCUCCAUUAACAGUUUUCAUCUUUAAUGGCAUUGAUUGUUAAAAAUCAAAUUUUAAUGGUGUUUAUGGUUAUAUUUUCAUAGUAAGUCAUUCCAAUUUGUUUAUAUUAAAUAAUUCACUUACAAUUUUAGAAAAUAAGCCAUUGUAAAUUUUAAAAUUAUUUAAAAAAGUUUUUCAAGUUUAUAAAUAUUUUUUUAGAAAUUAAAUAUACUAUUAAAUUUGAAAUAAAUAUUUAAAAAUGAGUUAGUAGUGUACUUUUUUUUUUCUUCCACAAGCAACCUUCAAAUAUUGCCAUGUGUUUUUUUAAAAUUUUACAAUACCUAUAGGAUAUUUGUCAACCCUUGACCCUGUUUGUGGAGUCUAAAAACUCCACUGAUAAUGCAACAAAUAUUUUCCUUUUAAAAAUAUAAAUAAUGUUACAAUAAAUUAUUUAGUGGUCACAAUAUCUAAAAGUUAAUUAGCAAUCUACACCCAUUAAUUAAUAAUUAAAAUUAAGUUAGAAACUAUAUAUAAAAAUAGGAUAUCACACAAUCAACUAUUAAAAUAUUUGUAUUUUGAAUAUAAUUUCAAAUUAUUGUUUUUUAAAUUCAAUCUAAUAUCAAUUAUCAUGUUUUUAAAGUUACAAAUUAUUAUGUUUUAAUUUUGUAAUCAUAUUAUUAAUGAAACAUUAUAAAAUUUAUUAAUUUUAUUAAGAAAUAACCAAUUGUAAUUUAAUUAAUACAUAUAAUCAAUUCGUGCACUAUACUAAUUAUAUAUAAGGUGGAUUAAUAUUAUAAUAAUAAUUAAAAUAUAUAAAGUAUAUUUAAUUACUGAAAACUUUUUUUAUGAUUAAAAUAAUUCUUUAUUUUUUAACAAGGCUCGCAUUAAUUUAAUAUGAAAUAUGAUGAUGUGUCUAAGUGUUGGGAUAUUUUAAUAAUAAUAAAACAUAACGUUUUAUACCUUAUUAACAUUUGACUUAAAAAGAAAUUUUAAAUGAAACAUUUUUUUUAAGUUUGCUAAAGUUUUAAUGUCAAACUUCAAUGAUUUAAGUUGUUAUUUCAAUGCAUUUAAUUCAAAUUUACUAUUUUUUAAUGCUUCAUUUACAUUUUUACUUAAAUAAUAACCUAUAAAACAGAUUUUUAUUAAUCUAAUCAUAUUUUUUCUUUUUGACACAAUACUUAAAACUACCUAUAACUUCUCUCUAACGCAUAAAUAGGAGGAUAAUACGCUUCAACACACUCGAACCCAUGUCCUUUUGCAUUGGCAAUAAUGCCCAUACUAAUCUAGCUAAGACUCAAUCAGCUAUAAAGAGGAAUUUUCAUAAGAAUUGUAUUCAUUUUUCAAGAGAAAUAAAAAAUAAUAAUCCUCCUAAGUCUUUUAAAGAGUUUUAAUUAUUUGGGUGAAAAAAGUGUUGUUUUUGGUGGAGCUUUGACCUUCUAACUUGUGCAGGUUAGCAAGAUGUACAGUGGAUAAUUGGACUUCUUGUAUCCUGGGGACGGUGUGCAAUGAAACCUCUUUGAACUGGUUAUUACCAUCGAGAGAACACGUAUCAUCUCAAGAGAGCGACCUGGUUCGUGCCACAAUCUCCAUCACCUUAUUUUAACUGUCAAAGUUGUGACAGUUCAACAACAGCAAAUUAAUCCUAUACUCUUAUCUAAAAGAAAUAUUGUGCAACAUUCUCAAACAAUUUUGAAACAAUAAUCCUUAUAGAGAACAUUGUUUAAAGCUUGC